AAACAUUCCUGGGUUUGUCGUCCCCGACAACCUGAAAGCUAAGGACAACCUCUGAAUGUUCUAUCAUUGUUAUUGUUAUAUUUAACCCAUACAGUAUAGAGGGGCGAGACCAAUUCCGUUGAAUUGUUUUGAAAGUUAAAGGAGGGAAACAUUUAACAUCAAAAGCCUUAAGAUUUAAAAACUCAUGAAUUGAUGAAUACAUGCUCACUUUGAAAUGAUUGACCAACAAAGAUACAUCACCUGUUGGUGGCAUUUAGCAUGCACAAAUGAUAGAUUUGUGCACCAUGCACAAUUUUCCCAUGGAAGGAUAGCUGGCAGUUUUGGGGAUGAGGUUACCUGCUGGGAAAACAUAUUAUAAUUGAAAAUAUUGAUUUUAUUGUUUUUGCUGGUGACACCCCCAAAAUCUGAAAAUGCAGAGUAGCAAUUCACACUUACUAACCAUCAACCCCCAUUUUGAAUCUCACGUGAGUCUUCUUUCUCUCUUCCUUCACUUGAAUCUCACAAAGAAUCAUUUUCAUCUACCACCAUUUUCUUCAUAUUUUCAUAAAUUGAUACUCGCUAUCAACCUACCCAUAAACUUAAAUUUCAUCUUCUUGAACAAGAUUGUUAAAUUUUAUUGAAGUUUGGAGAUUGCAACUUAGUUUGGUUUCUAGAUCUGGAUUCAUUGAAUCUCAUUGUUGAUUUCUGAAAUCUUUGAACUUGAAGUGCAUACAUAUCAACUGUUAGAAGAUUGUCUCCUACUGUCCCAGGGGAACUGGAAGAGUAUAUUGCUAAUGCUUACUCCAACAUUCGUCAAGAAGAAGCAAAGUCCACCACUCCACAUUCCUAUACAACUAUCAGAACAUUGCUCAGUAUUCUCCGCAUAUCAGUUGAACAGGUUCUUGGAUAUGAUGAAGCUGAAGAGGAAUGAAGAUUGACGAUAUUCAGAGACUGAAAUGAUAAGAAUUAGUAAUUUUGAGUAGUAUUGUGAAAUUGUAAUGGGAAUGAUGAAGUUGAAGAGGAGAGAAGACCUGAUAUUAUUCGUAGACUGAAUUGAAGAGAAUAAUUGAGUUGUAUUACUAUAUUUUAAUGAAAUUUGAUUAUAGUGAAUUUUUUUUUUCUGUAA